ensembl:snoRNA
AGCCUCAUUCUGGAUUAGGAGGGGUACUGUUGACUGGUGUCCAGAAUUGGUCAGUGUGGCUAACAUUGAGACACACAUCAUGCUUCCAUCACAGUAAGCAUUUACAGUGGUGACAAGAGGCCUGUAACAUUU